UGGUCUCGCCCCCGGGCUUCCGGGGAACCGGAGCCUUCAGGGUUGUCGGGUUUCCGCUGCUUGAUGUUGAGUUUUGUCAAGUUUAUCUUCGGGUACAAGAAACGUCAUUAGCGCCUCACAAGCUCCUGAGCCGCUGUGUGCCUCAGUGUCCCCAUUUGAAGAAAGAUUCACUCACAGCCCUAUGGAACAUACUUCUGCGAUCUCCUAGGUGAUGAAUGACCUGACUUCUUACAGGCCUCUCAUAACUCUCACCAGAGUUCAGUGUUUUCUGCUUUCCCAACUAAUGGCAAACUUGGUGGGGGCAGAGAUCAUGUCUGUCUUGGUCACCGUGUCCCUGGCACCUAGCACAGAAUCUAGCAUAGUAUAGGUGCUCAGUAAAUGUUUCCUGGACGAAUGAAUGCUGCCAAAAGGAGUCUAGCACAGAGAGAGAAAUGGGCCCAUAGUAGCCAAGAUGCAAGUGAGAUCCUGACACUGCACAUCCUCUUUUCCCACGUCUCACAUUUCUUCAGUGUCCUCAUCCCAUGGAUCUUUCGUGGCUCCACCUGGACUCCAGAAUCAGCAGCCAGAAAUGACUGCAGCACCAAUGCAGAAUACCUUGGCCAUCAGAGAAGCCCAUCAGUUGGGAUCCUGGGCUCAUCACUCAGGUCUUGUACGCACGCCCCUCUUGAGCUGCAGAGGCUUGGUGUUGAGGAGAGAGGGCGGACGAUUCUGGGAAGAUGAAGAACUUACUUCCUGGAACUUCCCACUCUUCGCAGAGUGUGUCAGUGUGGCCACCGCUUUGAUGUGCAGUGACCAGUUUACUAUCCUCACCUUCCACUGUGACUUGUGAAUACAACCGUCUCCUCAGUCUUCCAGCCCUCACUCCUGCCUCUGCUUCACUCCACUGUCACUCCUCCUCCUCCACAUAGGAGUUGCUGCCUCCAGUCUUCCAGAUCCUCAUUCAAGAAAGGAUCUUGCUCUUUUGAUUAUUUUAUGUUGAAUCUUUUAAAAAAAUUUCUUUAUUAAAAAAAUUUUUUUUU